CGGCGGCGACGGAUUGGCUCGCGUCCGAUUAGCUGGUUGGCGGGGUAACGGCCCACCAAGGCUACGAUCGGUAGGGGUUCUGAGAGGAAGGCCCCCCACAAUGGGACUGAGACACGGCCCAUACUCCUACGGGAGGCAGCAGUGAGGAAUAUUGGUCAAUGGGCGGAAGCCUGAACCAGCCAUGCCGCGUGCGGGAAGGAGGCCCUAUGGGCUGUGAACCGCUUUUGCCUGGGGGCAAUAAGGGCGUCGCGCACGUCCGAUGAGAGUACCAGGCGAAUAAGCAUCGGCUAACUCCGUGCCAGCAGCCGCGGUAAUACGGGGGAUGCGAGCGUUAUCCGGAUUCAUUGGGUUUAAAGGGUGCGUAGGCUGUGCGUCAAGUCGGGGGUGAAAUUCCGGUGCUCAACACCGGGGCUGCCCUUGAUACUGUCGCGCUGGAGUGCGGAUGCCGCCGGAGGAAUGAGUGGUGUAGCGGUGAAAUGCUUAGAUAUCACUCAGAACACCGAUUGCGAAGGCAUCUGGCGAAUCCGUAACUGACGCUGAGGCACGAAAGCGUGGGGAUAGAACAGGAUUAGAUACCCUGGUAUUCCACGCCGUAAACGAUGAUGGCUAACCGCCGGCGACACACUGUCGGUGGCCAAG
rnacentral:rRNA from 1 species